AGCAGAUCAGCUCACAGAGCAACAAAUGUGGCCCACACCCAUUCAAGGGAGAGAGAGAGAAAAAAAAACACAUUGCGCAUAGGUCUCCAACUUAACACUCCUGUCAACUUAACAUCAUAACAGUUGCACAAAUUCAUCACGGAAAGGGAGUUGAAAGAAAACGUAUUGCUUGACUUGGACUUGUAUUGACUGUUCAUCAUGGAGGCACCAACAACAGCAGGUACAAUAAGCCACUCGGCAUCGGAAGAGGCCUUCAGCCACAUGGUCAGUCACAUCAUAGAACUCUUCACACAGCCCUCCGUAGCUGAAGAUCUGACAACAACUUCUGCACAUAUGACUGAAACAAUCUCAGACACUUCUGUGGGAGUUCUGAGAACAACUUCUGCACAAAUGAUUGAAACAAUCUCAGACACUUCUGUGGUGGGAGCCGCCAUCGUAAAAGGUGUAUCCUUUGAAGUCCUUUUCGUAGGAGUCAUUCUUGUGGUGGUACUGGUGGUGGUACUGGUACUGGUGCUGGUACUGUGUCACAACGGCAAGCAUAAGGGCACUUACCACACCAACGAGGCCGAGUGUGGUGAUUCUGAUUCUGUCGACACGUAUGGUGUUGCCUCUCAAAGCGAACUUGAGAUUUUGAAUGAGGAAGAAUAGAAAGAAGUACACUUCAUUUGAAACAGGACUUUUUCCGAUUCUAAACCGGGGCCAGUUGUCAACUCAAGAUGCCAAAUAUUUUCUACGGAAUUGGUAAUGCCUAUGAUGGUCAUCUAAUUUCAAGGCAACAUUUAUAUGGGGCAUACAACCAUCUCAGCUCUACAGAUUUUGCCACGAAGAGACAGAAUCGUUAGAUCACUUAUUUUUGUAUUGCCCAUAUAUACACUAUAUAUACAAAAUUAUGUGGACACCCAUUAGUGGAUUUGGCUAUUUCAGCCACAUUACAGCCUUAUUUCCCUCAUCAAUCAAUAUAAAGAAACACUUUAAUAAACAAUUAAUAUUCAUUACAUGUGACUAACUUCAAGCUUACAAUUAGUACAGUAGUUAAACCAAUAUCAGAUUGUUGAGGUUUCGAAAAGAUGUAAAAACUAGAGAAAUUUUACAAUCCUUUUUGUCUUCCUUUUAAAAAAAAUGUUUAUACUCAAAAGAUAGUACCUUGUUUGAAUUUCUAUUAUGAGGGUGUUGAGCGAGCUUAAUGCAUAAUAAUGUAUAGCAUUGCUGAAUGUAAUAUCUGUUUUCAAUUUUUUUCUAAAUUGACGUCCAGUAGUAAUCUGAGCUUGUAAAAUGAAAUCAAGGCACAGGCAUCUUUCCUAACGCCAAACUGGAUGUUUUGGUUUUUUUGGCCUGAAGGUACCAAUAACUGAGUAAAGGAAAUGUUACGGCAAGGACCAUAAGAACACACAAAAAUACUUUCAUGAAACUUGAGACAUUUCACCUAUGACAAUACUGGGAACAAAACAGUCAAAAAAAUGUAAAUUCCCCUUCUUCUAAUGCAAGUCUCUGUAACUAAUAUAUUACCAUGUGAUUAAAGAGAAGCGACCUUGUUUUGCCUGAUGAAAACAGUGUCUAAUUAGCAGUAAAACACUUGUUCCAGAGAGGAAGGACUUUUUGUAUCAACAAGGCAACAACAGGGAAGUUUCAAAAGGAAACUGAAGACAGCCGAAUCACACUGCCCCAGCUAGGUGGAAAGGCUUCCAUGUAGUUCAGAGAGGGCAUAUCAACAGGAACGGCCUGAUAAAUGCUCAAAGUAUUAACAUCCCAAAAUACUGUAUCUGUGACUAAAUGUGGUCCAGUUUCUGUUGACGAUAAUGCAUGUCUGUUGUUCUAUCAUGUGAAAGUCCCAUUCGAUUAGCGUUGCGUAUGUAUCAAGCUACACAUUUGAUAAAUUUGCACAGUCAUGGACUAAAUUGUUUUUUUUGUUUUUUCAAAUGAAGAGUUUACUUGUAUA
ensembl:lncRNA